UACAGAGGUGGCAAGCGUUGUUCGGAAUUACUGGGCGUAAAGGGCGCGUAGGCGGCCAUCUAAGUCAGACGUGAAAUCCCCCGGCUUAACCUGGGAACUGCGUCUGAUACUGGAAGGCUUGAGUAUGGGAGAGGGAUGUAGAAUUCCAGGUGUAGCGGUGAAAUGCGUAGAUAUCUGGAGGAAUACCGGUGGCGAAGGCGGCGUUCUGGACUGCAACUGACACUGAGAGACGAAAGCCAGGGGAGCAAACGGG
rnacentral:rRNA from 1 species